rnacentral:rRNA from 1 species
UACGAGGGGGGCGAGCGUUGUUCGGAAUUAUUGGGCGUAAAGGGUGCGUAGGCGGUUCCGCAAGUCCUGUGUGAAAUCUUCGGGCUCAACUCGAAGUCUGCACGGGAAACUGCGGGGCUUGAGUGUGGGAGAGGUGAGUGGAAUUCCCGGUGUAGCGGUGAAAUGCGCAGAUAUCGGGAAGAACACCCGUGGCGAAGGCGGCACUCUGGGACGGUACUGACGCUGAGACGCGAAAGCGUGGGGAGCGAACAGG